rnacentral:lncRNA from 1 species
AUUGAUUCAUGAUUUGGACUAAACCAAAUAGGAGCCCUAGAUGCCUUUAUAAGGCUUUGAAAGGAGCUGCCCUAAUGAUAAGUGAAGCCCUCCUCCUCUCCAUCACGUGGCCACCCUCCUCUCCUCUCUUUUCAGCCGCCAACAACAAAGGGAAGAAAAGGAUCUUGGUGGCCUCCUUCUUCCUCCACCGUUUGGUUCCAACG